rnacentral:antisense_RNA from 1 species
CUUUAUGGCGGGCAUUACGGGCAACCUUCGGGUUGGCCGGUUUUCUCUUUUUAUCCGGUAGUGCUAACCCGUACAGCCUGCCGCCUUU